rnacentral:pre_miRNA from 1 species
UCUCAUGGAUGAGCAAAGAAGAUGGUUUCUUCAGAAAGAAUCUACUCCUGGUGAAGAUGCUGUGAA